rnacentral:rRNA from 1 species
GAGUUUGAUCAUGGCUCAGAACGAACGCUGGCGGCAGGCUUAACACAUGCAAGUCGAACGCCCCGCAAGGGGAGUGGCAGACGGGUGAGUAACGCGUGGGAACGUGCCCUUCGCUUCGGAAUAGCCCCGGGAAACUGGGAGUAAUACCGAAUACGCCGUAUUGGGAGAGAUUUAUCGGCGAAGGAUCGGCCCGCGUUAGAUUAGCUAGUUGGCGGUGUAAUGGACCACCAAGGCUACGAUCUAUAGCUGGUCUGAGAGGAUGAUCAGCCACACUGGGACUGAGACACGGCCCAGACUCCUACGGGAGGCAGCAGUGGGGAACCUUGGACAAUGGGCGCAAGCCUGAUCCAGCCAUGCCGCGUGAGUGAAGAAGGCCUUAGGGUUGUAAAACUCUUUCGCCGGAGAAGAUAAUAACGGUAUCCGGAGAAGAAGCCCCGGCUAACUUCGUGGCAGCCGCCGCAGUAAC